rnacentral:rRNA from 1 species
AUGGGGACGCAGACGGAGGAGCUCGCAGCCAGGUUGGCGGCCAGGGGCCCCCAGCGGCAUCGGCGGACCAGGAGGAGGAGGAGGACGCGGGCCUGGGCGGACCGGGAGGAGGAGGAGGACACGGACUUGGGCGUCGUGCCGGCGGUCGUCGCGGCGCUGGCCGAGCCCGGCGCGUCACCGGCCGCGCUCGUCCAUGCGGCGGCCGCGGCGAUGAGCUUUGCUUGCGGCGUAGACGAUGGCGCGUGGGCCGUGCUUGCUGCUGGCGCCAUGGGGCACCUUACGCGGCUCCCCGCCCACCCCCACAACAAGUCUGUACAUUGGCCACAACCGGAUCCACAGGGAAGAGGUGCUCGAGAUCGAGGACAUCCAGAUUGA